ACACCACAACCGACUUGCUCUUUUUACUAUCCUACAUUUAUUUAUGGUAUUUCACACUGUACUAUAUAUUUGUGUUAGGUGCUUAUGAUAGUACAGUGUGAAAUACCAUAAAUAAAUGUAGGAUAGUAAAAAGAGCAAGUCGGUUGUGGUGU